UACGUAGGGUGCGAGCGUUGUCCGGAAUUAUUGGGCGUAAAGAGCUCGUAGGCGGCUUGUCGCGUCGGAUGUGAAAGCCCGGGGCUUAACCCCGGGUCUGCAUUCGAUACGGGCAGGCUAGAGUUCGGUAGGGGAGAGUCGGAAUUCCUGGUGUAGCGGUGAAAUGCGCAGAUAUCAGGAGGAACACCAAUGGCGAAGGCAGCUCGCUGGGACGGUACUGACGCUGAGACGCGAAAGCGUGGGGAGCAAACAGG
rnacentral:rRNA from 1 species